rnacentral:rRNA from 1 species
UGGGGGAUAUUGCACAAUGGGCGAAAGCCUGAUGCAGCGACGCCGCGUGGGGGAUGAAGGCCUUCGGGUUGUAAACUUCUUUUGCUCUGAACAAGGCAUGCCUUUGGGGUGUGUUGAGUGUAGGGGUUGAUUAGCGCCGGCUAACUACGUGCCAGCAGCCGCGGUAAUACGUAGGGCGCGAGCGUUGUCCGGAAUUAUUGGGCGUAAAGGGCUUGUAGGUGGCUGGUUGCGUCUGUCGUGAAAGCUCAUGGCUUAACUGUGGGUUUGCGGUGGGUACGGGCUGGCUUGAGUGCAGUAGGGGAGGCUGGAAUUCCUGGUGUAGCGGUGGAAUGCGCAGAUAUCAGGAGGAAUACCGGUGGCGAAGGCGGGUCUCUUGGCUGUUACUGACGCUGAGGAGCGAAAGCGUGGGGAGCGAACAGG